GCCGGGUGCGGUGGCAUGUGCCUGUAAUCCAAGUCACUGGGAGGCUGAGGUUGGUGGAUCAGUGAGCUGAGGAGCUCUGGGCUGCAGCACGCUAUGUCGAACGGGUGUCCACGCCAAGUUCGGUAUAGAUAUGGUGUUCCUGGGGGAGCCCGGGACCACCAGGUUGUCUAAGGAGGGGUGAACCGGCCCAGGUCGGAAACGAAGCAGGUCAAAUCCCCCGUGCUGUCCAGUAGUGGGAUAAUACCUGUGAGUAGAUGCUGCAGUGGCAGCCUGGCAAAACAUUCGAGACCUAGUCUUUU
rnacentral:SRP_RNA from 1 species